rnacentral:rRNA from 1 species
CUACGGGUGGCUCCAGUGGGGAAUAUUGGACAAUGGGGGAAACCCUGAUCCAGCCAUGCCGCGUGAAUGAUGAAGGCCUUCGGGUUGUAAAGUUCUUUUGGUGGGGACGAUGAUGACGGUACCCACAGAAUAAGCUCCGGCUAACUUCGUGCCAGCAGCCGCGGUAAUACGAAGGGAGCUAGCGUUGUUCGGAAUUACUGGGCGUAAAGGGUGCGUAGGCGGUUUAACAAGUCAGGUGUGAAAGCCCCGAGCUCAACUCGGGAACUGCGCUUGAUACUGUUAGGCUAGAAUUCGGAAGAGGUGAGUCGAAUUCCCGGUGUAGAGGUGAAAUUCGUAGAUAUUGGGAAGAACGCCGGUGGCGAAGGCGGCUCACUGGUCCGACAUUGACGCUGAGGCACGAAAGCGUGGGGAGCAAACAGGAUUAGAUACCCCCGUAGUC